GGGGAUAUAGUUCAGUUGGUAGAGUGCUUGCUUUGCAUGCAAACCCUGGGUUCGGUCCCCAGCACCACA
rnacentral:tRNA from 1 species